rnacentral:rRNA from 1 species
CGUAGGUGGCAAGCGUUGUCCGGAAUUAUUGGGCGUAAAGCGCGCGCAGGCGGUUCCUUAAGUCUGAUGUGAAAGCCCCCGGCUCAACCGGGGAAGGUCAUUGGAAACUGGGGAACUUGAGUGCAGAAGAGAAGAGCGGAAUUCCACGUGUAGCGGUGAAAUGCGUAGAGAUGUGGAGGAACACCAGUGGCGAAGGCGGCUCUUUGGUCUGUAGCUGACGCUGAGGCGCGAAAGCGUGGGGAGCAAACAGGAUUAGAUACCCUGGUAGUCCACGCCGUAAACGAUGAGUGCUAAGUGUUAGAGGGUUUCCGCCCUUUAGUGCUGCAGCUAACGCAUUAAGCACUCCGCCUGGGAGUACGGCCGCAAGGCUG